UCUUGCAGGCCAACAAUGCAA
rnacentral:snRNA from 1 species